rnacentral:rRNA from 1 species
GAUGAACGCUGGCGGCGUGCCUAAUACAUGCAAGUCGAGCGAACAGAUAAGGAGCUUGCUCCUUUGACGUUAGCGGCGGACGGGUGAGUAACACGUGGGUAACCUACCUAUAAGACUGGGAUAACUUCGGGAAACUGGAGCUAAUACCGGAUAAUAUUUCGAACCGCAUGGUUCGAUAGUGAAAGAUGGUUUUGCUAUCACUUAUAGAUGGACCCGCGCCGUAUUAGCUAGUUGGUAAGGUAACGGCUUACCAAGGCGACGAUACGUAGCCGACCUGAGAGGGUGAUCGGCCACACUGGAACUGAGACACGGUCCAGACUCCUACGGGAGGCAGCAGUAGGGAAUCUUCCGCAAUGGGCGAAAGCCUGACGGAGCAACGCCGCGUGAGUGAUGAAGGUCUUCGGAUCGUAAAACUCUGUUAUUAGGGAAGAACAUACGUGUAAGUAACUGUGCACGUCUUGACGGUACCUAAUCAGAAAGCCACGGCUAACUACGUG